UCCCCGUUACCGAGGCAGUUUGGCUAGAAAAAUACAACUAACCAUAGGGGUUGCGCUCGUUGAAGGACUUAACCUAACGUCUCACGACACGAGCUGACGACGGCCAUGCAACACCUGUCACUAGGUUCCUUGCGGCACUCUCGCCUUUCGGCAAAAUUCCUAGGAUGUCAAACCCUGGUAAGGUUCUUGGCUUAUCAUCCAAUUAAACAACACGCUCCACUGCUUGUGCGGAGCCCCGUCAAUUCCUUUGAGUUUUAAUCUUGCGACCGUACUCCCCAGGCGGGAUGCUUAACGCGUUAACUUCGCUACUGACCGGGUCGAUACGGCCAACAGCUAGCAUCCAUCGUUUACGGCGUGGACUAC
rnacentral:misc_RNA from 1 species